UUGAACGCUGGCGGCAGGCCUAACACAUGCAAGUCGAGCGGUAGCACAGAGAGCUUGCUCUCGGGUGACGAGCGGCGGACGGGUGAGUAAUGUCUGGGAAACUGCCUGAUGGAGGGGGAUAACUACUGGAAACGGUAGCUAAUACCGCAUAAUGUCGCAAGACCAAAGUGGGGGACCUUCGGGCCUCAUGCCAUCAGAUGUGCCCAGAUGGGAUUAGCUAGUAGGUGGGGUAACGGCUCACCUAGGCGACGAUCCCUAGCUGGUCUGAGAGGAUGACCAGCCACACUGGAACUGAGACACGGUCCAGACUCCUACGGGAGGCAGCAGUGGGGAAUAUUGCACAAUGGGCGCAAGCCUGAUGCAGCCAUGCCGCGUGUGUGAAGAAGGCCUUCGGGUUGUAAAGCACUUUCAGCGGGGAGGAAGGCGUUAAGGUUAAUAACCUUGGCGAUUGACGUUACCCGCAGAAGAAGCACCGGCUAACUCCGUGCCAGCAGCCGCGGUAAUACGGAGGGUGCAAGCGUUAAUCGGAAUUACUGGGCGUAAAGCGCACGCAGGCGGUCUGUCAAGUCGGAUGUGAAAUCCCCGGGCUCAACCUGGGAACUGCAUUCGAAACUGGCAGGCUAGAGUCUUGUAGAGGGGGGUAGAAUUCCAGGUGUAGCGGUGAAAUGCGUAGAGAUCUGGAGGAAUACCGGUGGCGAAGGCGGCCCCCUGGACAAAGACUGACGCUCAGGUGCGAAAGCGUGGGGAGCAAACAGGAUUAGAUACCCUGGUAGUCCACGCCGUAAACGAUGUCGAUUUGGAGGUUGUGCCCUUGAGGCGUGGCUUCCGGAGCUAACGCGUUAAAUCGACCGCCUGGGGAGUACGGCCGCAAGGUUAAAACUCAAAUGAAUUGACGGGGGCCCGCACAAGCGGUGGAGCAUGUGGUUUAAUUCGAUGCAACGCGAAGAACCUUACCUGGUCUUGACAUCCACAGAACUUUCCAGAGAUGGAUUGGUGCCUUCGGGAACUGUGAGACAGGUGCUGCAUGGCUGUCGUCAGCUCGUGUUGUGAAAUGUUGGGUUAAGUCCCGCAACGAGCGCAACCCUUAUCCUUUGUUGCCAGCGGUUCGGCCGGGAACUCAAAGGAGACUGCCAGUGAUAAACUGGAGGAAGGUGGGGAUGACGUCAAGUCAUCAUGGCCCUUACGACCAGGGCUACACACGUGCUACAAUGGCAUAUACAAAGAGAAGCGACCUCGCGAGAGCAAGCGGACCUCAUAAAGUAUGUCGUAGUCCGGAUUGGAGUCUGCAACUCGACUCCAUGAAGUCGGAAUCGCUAGUAAUCGUAGAUCAGAAUGCUACGGUGAAUACGUUCCCGGGCCUUGUACACACCGCCCGUCACACCAUGGGAGUGGGUUGCAAAAGAAGUAGGUAGCUUAACCUUCGGGAGGGCGCUUACCACUUUGUGAUUCAUGACUGGGGG
rnacentral:rRNA from 1 species